GCCGGUUUAUAGAAGAAGGAAGAAGCAAUGGGCGAGUUUGACGGUUGCAAUAGCGCUGGUCACCGCCUCGCCCGCAAGUUGAGGUGAGAGGAGGCAGGCCGGGGCCGCGGGCGCCGCUGGUGUGGACGCUGAGGCGGCGGUGGAGGUACACGCGGACUGGGGGGGUGAGGGAGAGCCUGGGCUACGGAGAGUACCGGUAGAGGAGGGGUGAUGGGAAGAGGAAGGGGGAGGGGAGGCGCGUGGUGGGGGCAGCGCGGUGGCGGCCCCGGUGUCGUCGCGGGAGGCGGUGGCGGUCGCUGCUGAAGCUGAUGGGGGAGCGGCUGGGGAGGCAGGCGACCGGGUCGGAGGCGAAGGGCGUGGAGGGGCGCGGGGCGAAGGGGCGGCGGCUGCGGCGGGGAGGGCGGGGCCGCUCCGGCCUCGGGCGCUUCCUGCUGAGUUGGCGCGGGAGGCGGAGGCCGGGGAGCCGGCAGCGGCAGCGGCAGCUCGGCGACCUGCGCGCCCGGGUGGCGCCCUCCGACUUCUUCGACUCGUUCCAGCGCGACGCGGCCCGCGCCCUGACCGCCCUCGCGCAGAGCCUGGACCGCCUGGCGGAGGACCGCGACGGGGGGCCGCGCGGGCAGCGCCUCCACGAGCUGCCGCGCACCCACAGGGGGCUGCUCGAACGGAUGCAGCACGCGCGGCACCCGCGCCGGAGGACCGCCGCGCGCGAGCUGCGGAAGCUCACCGAGCGCCGCUCGCCGCUGCCCUCGGGCCCGGGGGCGCAGCAGCGGCAGCACGAGCCCCAGGAGCCGGCGCGAGCGGUCCUGCCCGAGCGCCUCCUCCAGAAGGAGGCGAAGCGGCCCCUCCCGCGGUGGCACGUCCACAAGUUGCGGUACUACCCGCACAUGCGGGCGAGGCCGGCGAAGCUGCUGCAGGCCGUCGACGAACUGCGUUACGCGCCGGUCCCAUAGCUCGGUCUGGAACAGUCGAAGUUGUGAGACUAGUUGCGGUCGCGGUUCAGGCCCACGAAUCGGGGACCGCGGCGGAAACUAGAGGACGUGCUUCAGGCCGUUCGACCCGAGUCCGGCCUGCAAUAGUGAAUGUUGUGGGACUAGUCACGAACGAGCGUUCCAAGGUAAAAUCUGCUACGUCACCGUCACAAGUUUCUCUACUAACUAAGUCUCACAGCCGGUCUGAACACCUGCAUGUUACGGUACCACAGUCAAGUACCGGCCACACCCUGCCGUGCCCUCCGACUCGUCUACAAGUACCUCGACGAUCUGUUCCCAAAGUUCGGCCUACGUCAAUGGAUAUUAAGAGAGGAAGUACGAAAACGCUUCCUUCCUCUGCAGCUGCGCCACCUCGCACACACACUCCUCAACCAAUUCCGACCCAAGUCCUUCCUACCUUAAUGAAUAUUAUGGUACUAAGUAUACAUACCCUUUUACCCGUCCGAACUGGACCGUGAACCAGACAUACUACUCUACUCUCGGUAUCCAACGUGAGGUCUACGACACUGAAUGUGACAGAACUAACUAAGAGACCCCUUCCACCUAUCCUAAAGACUACGUCCCUUCCACGACCUCCUUUACCAUCUACGUCCCAAUUUCGGUUGGGACCAUUGGAAGUCACGAAACUAUACACGUAUACGGUUUCCACCCUCCGCCCUGCUCCGCCUCGUCUGUAAACUAGCGUACCAACGUAGUCCACAGUUUGGGCUAGCAAAUCGGAUAAACCAAUACGACCUGUAAUAGCGUUCCAGACCACUCUGUUUUUUCGACUACGAGGACAUAGUCUGUUACUACUUCCUACCAAUAUACGGUCUACUGUGGAACAUAGUCCAAUACGAACAACGUGAACGUUUUCCUUUAUUUGUGCUCCUCUAACUUCCUCAACAGGUUCUGUACCUCCAACAAACAGUUUACCUAUCCGUUGACCAUAUGUCACAUGAGUAGUUCCGCCCAACGUAAAGAGUCCCACGAUUCGACAAUUUCUUCCGUACGGAUGUUCCUGUACUCGGACUGUCAUUCUCAAAUGAUAGGUAAAACCUACUAAUACUUUGUUACCCUUUCGUACUUCUUCCGGAGAGGAACGAAGUUACGUAGGCCCUCUUACAGGGGUCGAGGGUAUUGAACUAUAGACUUACAAGGUAGUACGAAUACACGUUUUUGGUCUUCUAACGACGACGGGAAGUUCUCAUGUCGUCAUACGUCUGUAAUUUUACACCUAGAAAACCAGUUCUAGCAUUGAACAUACUCACGAACUAAUGUACGGAACUUCUCCGACUUAAGAACGGUCUUCGAAGAGUCCACAAGACGCUGUACGUCAAAUAACCGUAUCUCGGAAGGGUCUUCUAUAUACUCUCAUACUAGAGAUGUAUAACAUUUAACCCGAAGGGUCUUUGUCGAGCGGUUAACUACCUACUUCGACAUGUCAGACCACAAACCGAUUUAUGAGAAAGUAGAUCUCAUUGGUAUUAGUUUCGUAUACCCUUCUGUUUUGACACCGUCGUACGCCUUUUAAAGCACUUUCCUGACUUAGUUCUCCGUCCACAACUGUCCGCUUAAACCUUACGCAACUAUGUACGGAUACGGCUCUCACCGGAAAUACUCGUUCGUUCCCGUCAGAAACUGCAAUACUAAUUUUUCCCGGGAGAUGGUUGACAACUAAGUUAAUUACCUUACUACUCUCGUAACUAAUGACUACCGUCCGAUCUACUCAACAAACACCAACAAGUCCUCGAAGUUCUAUACCCAAAGUUCUAGUCGUUUUCGUGUCAUUAGGAAUACGAACUUCGAAAACGUUUUCGACCCCUACAAAAGCUCCAUUACUUUUAUAUAUUACCUUACUUCCUUCGUCCUAUGGACGGUUUGUACGUGUAGAUGUCUUCAUACUAAAGGAACGAGACGGCAUUAUUUGCUAAGUCCCUACAACUUAACUACCAACGCCUCUACCUCCGUCGUCCUAAGUUCGGUCUAGAUCAGUAUGAAUUAUGGGAAGAAAACUACAUAUGACCCUUGUCUCUGAAACUAUUCUGUCAUUUUCAUAUGGUAUCAUAAAACCUUCGACCGGAUCUCGGACUACUUCUAUGCAUAUUAUGUGACUAUCAGUACAUGUCAUCUUUGAACUCCGGACUUCUUCCAAAAUGAGAGAACUUACUCUACCCAUUUGCUCCAAACUGUGGGUCCAAUCUUAGGAUAUUUUCGAACGAACAUCGUAGACCUUUUCGUUUUGAUACCCUCGUUCCACUUGUCGAAAAACUCCUUUAUUCCAGUUUCCCAAUAGCUAAUUUAGCUAGAAAUAUAGUGCAUUACUACUUCUACAUGUCUCUACGGACGUUGGUAAGGUUUCGGCUCGUUGAUGAUCGUCGUUACUUUCUUCUGCCGUAGCUUGGCUGUUAACGGUGAUACGUGUAGGAGUACUGAAGAAUACCUUGACGCCCCGUGGGUCAACUUCGACUCUUUCACGACUUGUCGAACUUUAGAAGGUCAAACCUUCAGUCGUCAAAUGGUAUGUCGUGACAAAAACUGCGAAUGAACUUUUUACCACUGAUGUUAGAACGUUAGUGUUUCAACAACCUUUACUUUUCUCUACCAUAUUUUGGUCUAGUAGUUCAAACCUGUACAAAGUAGUCUCGGCGAUCAAACACACUCGCCUGACUACUACGGCAAGAAGAGGAUUUGAGCAAUGUCCUAACACCUAAACUGGAAGGAUAAUCCGAGGACUGACUCUCCUGAGGUAGGGACAAUUGACUCCAACUGUCAAAAGAUGUUCUUGAACUCUGUGAUCUUCUAAGACGACGAGACUUAAAACAUUUACGUGAUCUUCUGGACAACACCCGUAAACUCGCAGCUCGUUGACGAUGUAUGUAAAAGGUCAACCGUCAUUUAUCUUCGUAUAUGGCAGUGUCAUAGAAAGCCCACUAUCUUUUUCUGACCCCUCGACUGAAGGCCUUCAACAGACGACCCCGACGUGAACAGCGAGAUUGUAAUACCGAACUAGUUUACGUUCUACGAAGUGACGUCCCAAGUGGUCUUAGGGGGUUUAGAUAACAUGACCAGUGUCCCCUCCCCCUUAUAUUGUACCAUAGGAACGCAUUCUGCUAGUCUCGCAUGGAAAACCUUUACCCGAGGGGAAAGAACGGUACAUCUCGAGCUUGUCCAGCGAAACACCGCUUCAAAAUGAGAGAAUUCUACACCGACUUUCUAAGAGGAAAGACGUACCUAGAACUCAACUUUCUGCGAGGUCGAGAAGGAUUUUACUUGAGUUACUUCGAGUGACUUCCCAUGAAGUACUCUCGACCAGAACAUAGUUGUAAGUUUCUAUAUGUGCUCGUUGAACCCCUUCAUGCCGGUUUCUUUAAGAGGUCUAAUCGAUACAACAGUCUUCUUUCGUCCCGGUUUAAAUAAUUUCGACUAUAUUUUCCUUCCUUUGUGUUUGACCUCUCUUACUUUCUUUUCCCCGAACAGUAUGGUUCUUUUAGAUUUUUUCCUGGUGCCUCUCGUUUUAAACAAUCUCUUGUUUCGUGCGUCCUCCAAAACUUCAUCACAAACAAAACGAAGUAGUGCUGUAAACCUGUUUGCCGUGACACCGUAAUUGUACUUAUAAGAAUUACCCUCUUCUGCUUUUCCCUUACCACUUUUAUGACACUACGACUAGCCAGUUCCAUACUCACACUAGCUUGUUUUCUACCCUACGUAAUCGAAGGUCCAAUUAAACAGUGUCGGAUAGUUCAAGUAUGACUCUACUUGUUCACAACCUCUACCCUACAAAGUGAGUCGUACUGUAGUAGUACCCUGUGACAUUAAGUUUUGUUACGGGAAUAGGUGCGGCAUGAACCUCAUUGGAAAUGUUGACAAAUUCCUCUUAAAGGGACUUAGCCUCGAGAAUUACAAGGAGAGCUAUGGUUUCUUCGGCUGAGGCUCGCUCCCUUUGUAUGGUGUGCUCGGUCGGUACCGCGAGAAGGCAGAAGAACCUAGAUCUGUAUACGUCUUGCAAAAACCUUGCUCCGCGAAGAGACCAAACUAGAAGCUGAGGGGGCUGGUGUAGGUCUAAGUACCCGUUCUCUAUAAGAGACACUGGGGGUGAAAAGCCUACCUCUAUCCGGGUUCUAAUAAUGCUAGUACACCAGAUAAACCGUGAGAUCCUUGUUUGACUUCGUACUCCUCCCUCCUAGGCUAGGCUGAUUGACGUACGCGUACUGGUCUCUUCGGGAACGCGAAGAACUUGAGGGUGAUAUUUCGUUCGAUUCGGCCGGAUCAAUUUUAGUUGUGUCUACCACGAUAUAGUAAACUAAGAUUAUCUCGGCCACGUCCACCUCACCGAGCUAGAUCACGACGAGAAUACCCACGUACCGCGUUUGGUAUACACCCAUAGUCACUAGGAGAGUAGCGACUUCGUUUCCGCGACACACUACCACAGUAGAAACGGUUUGAAGUACCUAUGUUUCGUACGCUAUUACCUCCACCUGACGACCUUGUGAGCGGUGUCAAGAGCUCAGCUAACACCGAGGAUAGAACAACUUUAACCUCUCGAUCAAGUACUAAAAAGAAAAAAACAUUAGGUCGUACAUUUAGCUAGUCGAUUCCAUGGUCGUGUAGAAACU
rnacentral:rRNA from 1 species